GAUGAACGCUGGCGGCGUGCCUAAUACAUGCAAGUCGAGCGAACGGACGAGAAGCUUGCUUCUCUGAUGUUAGCGGCGGACGGGUGAGUAACACGUGGAUAACCUACCUAUAAGACUGGGAUAACUUCGGGAAACCGGAGCUAAUACCGGAUAAUAUUUUGAACCGCAUGGUUCAAAAGUGAAAGACGGUCUUGCUGUCACUUAUAGAUGGAUCCGCGCUGCAUUAGCUAGUUGGUAAGGUAACGGCUUACCAAGGCAACGAUGCAUAGCCGACCUGAGAGGGUGAUCGGCCACACUGGAACUGAGACACGGUCCCGACUUCUACGGGAGGCAGCAGUAGGGAAUCUUCCGCAAAGGGCGAAAGCCUGACGGAGCAACGCCGCGUGAGUGAUGAAGGUCUUCGGAUCGUAAAACUCUGUUAUUAGGGAAGAACAUAUGUGUAAGUAACUGUGCACAUCUUGACGGUACCUAAUCAGAAAGCCACGGCUAACUACGUG
rnacentral:rRNA from 1 species